UUUUUCUAUAGGCUCCCCAGCACAUCAGAAGGUGCGGCAUCUGCUGCUGGCUCUUCAGCGUAAGUUAGUGUUCACUUCCUUGUGUCGGAAUAUGGCACCAUAACAAAGAUUUGUUUGAUGCAGGUUGUCAACUUCACAAGCAGGAGCCACUGCCCCAGAUCCAGGGUCUGCCAAGAGGCGAGCAUCCAAUGGACCUUCCUCUAUGACCAAAAGAAGGCAGUCUGACAGCUUCGACGAAGCGGUGAAAGAUGUCUUGGGCAGCUGCUCAGCUACGCUGUUAGAACUAAAAAAGAAGAAAUGCCUG